rnacentral:rRNA from 1 species
GACGAACGCUGGCGGCGUGCUUAACACACGCAAGUCGAACGGAAAGGCCCUGCUUUUGUGGGGUGCUCGAGUGGCGAACGGGUGAGUAACACGUGAGUAACCUGCCCUUGACUUUGGGAUAACUUCAGGAAACUGGGGCUAAUACCGGAUAGGAGCUCCUGCUGCAUGGUGGGGGUUGGAAAGUUUCGGCGGUUGGGGAUGGACUCGCGGCUUAUCAGCUUGUUGGUGGGGUAGUGGCUUACCAAGGCUUUGACGGGUAGCCGGCCUGAGAGGGUGACCGGCCACAUUGGGACUGAGAUACGGCCCAGACUCCUACGGGAGACAGCAGUGGGGAAUAUUGCACAAUGGGCGGAAGCCUGAUGCAGCAACGCCGCGUGCGGGAUGACGGCCUUCGGGUUGUAAACCGCUUUCGCCUGUGACGAAGCGUGAGUGACGGUAAUGGGUAAAGAAGCACCGGCUAACUACGUG